CAAUAGCGUAUAUUAAAGUUGUUGCAGUUAAAAAGCUCGUAGUUGGAUUUCUGGUGGGAGCGAUCGGUCUGGCGCUUAGCGCGAGUACUUGCAUCGUCUCCGGCCAUCCUUGGGGAGAGUCUGUCUGGCAUUAAGUUGUCGGGCAGAGGAUCCUCAUCGUUUACUGUGAAAAAAUUAGAGUGUUCAAAGCAGGCUUAUGCUGUUGAAUAUAUUAGCAUGGAAUAAUAAGAUAGGACUUUGGUACUAUUUUGUUGGUUUGCGCACCAAAGUAAUGAUUAAUAGGGACAGUUGGGGGUAUUCGUAUUCCGUUGUCAGAGGUGAAAUUCUUGGAUUUACGGAAGACGAACUACUGCGAAAGCAUUUACCAAGGAUGUUUUCAUUA
rnacentral:rRNA from 1 species